CCUACGGGUGGCAGCAGUGAGGAAUAUUGGUCAAUGGCCGAGAGGCUGAACCAGCCAAGUCGCGUGAGGGAAGAAUGUCCUAUGGAUUGUAAACCUCUUUUGUCAGGGAGCAAAGUCACCCACGUGUGGGUGUUGGAGAGUACCUGAAGAAAAAGCCCCGGCUAACUACGUGCCAGCAGCCGCGGUAAUACGUAGGGGGCAAGCGUUAUCCGGAUUUACUGGGUGUAAAGGGGGCGCAGACGGCAAUGCAAGCCAGGAGUGAAAGCCCGGGGCCCAACCCCGGGACUGCUCUUGGAACUGGAUGGCUGGAGUACAGGAGGGGCAGGCGGAAUUCCUAGUGUAGCGGUGAAAUGCGUAGAUAUUAGGAGGAACACCGGUGGCGAAGGCGGCCUGCUGGACUGUGACUGACGUUGAGGCCCGAAGGCGUGGGGAGCAAACAGGAUUAGAUACCCUGGUAGUC
rnacentral:rRNA from 1 species